rnacentral:rRNA from 1 species
UACGAAGGGGGCUAGCGUUGUUCGGAAUCACUGGGCUUAAAGGGCGCGUAGGCGGCUUACCAAGUCAGGGGUGAAAUUUUGCGGCUUAACCGUAACAGUGCCUUUGAUACUGGUAGGCUCGAGGGGGACAGGGGUCCGCGGAACUUCUGGUGGAGCGGUGAAAUGCGUUGAUAUCAGAAGGAACGCCGGUGGCGAAAGCGGCGGACUGGAUCCUUUCUGACGCUGAGGCGCGAAAGCUAGGGGAGCAAACGGG